rnacentral:lncRNA from 1 species
GAGGAAAAUCAAAAAUUGAAAAACAAAUCUAUUAAAAUAAAGCUUAUUAAUAUAUAAACACACAUCAUUGAAUAACCAGCAGGGGAGAGAAUGGAGUAUGUUAUGCAAAAAAAAAUUCUAAUUUUAAGUUUAAUACGAAUUCAUCAUUUUUUUCUUGGAAUUUCUAAAUAAACAAAUUAUUUUAAAUUUAUCAACUAUCUUGGAAUUUUAUUUUUCGCAUAUAAUUUAAAUACAAUCAAUAGUAUGUAUGGUUUAGACUUCAAUCAAAUAUAUAUUAUACUAACAUUAUCACUAAUAUUUAGUUGUCUAAAUAGGGUUGUGGUUAAAAUCAAAUUAACCGAUUGGAUUGAUAUAAUUUGGUUAAUGGAUCGGUGGUUAGUUAACAAUUUUUUGGAAUAUCAGUCACUGAUUAAUUCGGUUCGAAACUGGGUAAUUAGUCAAAUUAACCGAAAUAAAUAAUAUAUUUUGUAUAUAAUUGUUAAUUUUUGUUUGAUUGUUAACUUUCAAGAUUUAUGUAGUAUUUUUAAUGUCUUGUUUGUUGUUUUCACCUUCGUUUAAAAUUUUUUUGAACUAUUAAAAAAAUGAACAUUAGUAAUGUAUUUUUUAUAUGUUUUAUACUUAUUUUAAUCAAAAGACAAAAAAUAAUUUAUUCAAUUAACCGACCGAAUAAACCAAAAUACUUUACUUCGGUUAACGGUUAAAGAUUCUUACAUUUUGAGUAAUUGGUUAAUGGUAAUUCGGUUCGGGUAUUAACCGAAUUGACCGUUUGAACUUCCCUAUGUCUAAUGUAUGAAUACAAUCCAACAAAACUAUAGAUCUUAAAUGAUUGGAAAUUGACCUUUAUUUAUUUAUAAAUAGUUAACAAAAAAUUCGUUUAGAUUUACUAUUCACAAAAUUUUAUUUUUCUUCUGUUAAAUUUUGUAACAUAAAGCAUUUAGAGUGAAGAAAAUGACACUCUAAUUGCAAAAAGGAAAAAAAUGGCAAUGAUAUAUAUCUAUUAUUCUAUCAUCUAUAAUAACAAAUUAACUUUUCAACACAUCAAUAUAUUUUUUAUUGUUUAUUAUAUUACUUAAUAUAAAUUAUCAAAACAAUUUAUAUAUGUUUAUUAUUAUUUAUUCAGAAUAGAUUAAUUUAUAAUAUAUUAUUUUUUUAUAUUUUUUUGCAAAUGUUUUAAUAUCAAUUAGAAAUUUUUUAUUAUCACUAUAUUUUAAUCAUCAAAAUAAUAAACGUAUGUUAAUUAGUUAUUAUUUUGAAUAAUGUUGUUUUAUAUUAAUUACAUGAAGUAAAAUUAUAUUGUGUAUUGAUUAAAUUUAAAAAAACUUUAAUUAUGAUUUCAAAAUUAUUGUUAUAAUAUUUAAUUUUUUAAAUAAGUUAAUAUAUCUUAAUUACAUUCAAAAGUUUGUAUAAGAAAUUUAUUUUACAAUAAUUAAAAAUAUAAUAUUAAAAAAACUAACUAAAAAUUAAAUGCUUAAAAUCACAUUCAACAUAUGUUUUAUGUAAAUUAAUCUUAAGAAUUAAGAGACGUAAAAAAAAAAUAGUAACUUACUGGUUUGAGAACGAGAGUCAUUAAAAUUAAUUUCGUCCAAGAAAAGAAUCUUGAAUGAUGGAAAUAAAUCCAAUGAUUGUAGCCAAAAAUUGCAAUCAGAAUCUGUACAUAUCAAAUAGUAUAUUUAUAUUUGCUUUAUUUCUUUAGAAUAUAUCUAAUUAAUCAAACUAGUAAAUAAUUAAUAGGGAUUUGUUUCAAUAUUUAAAUAUUAACACAUUCAUUCAUGAAUUAAGCAACAAUUUUAUUUUAGUAAUACCAGUUGAAUAGCAGCUUAUACGUAGGUCCUCUAAUUUGCUCAAGCUAUCUGAGGAAAAUAAAAAAUUGAAAAAUAAUUCUAUUAAAAUAUGAAUAUAAUAUAUAAACACACAUCAUUGAAUAACCAUUGGUAGAGAGAAAGCAAGAAUGUACUAUAGAAAAAAAUUAAUAUGAAAUCAUCAUUUUAUCUUGGAACCUCUAAAUAAACAAAUUGUUUUAAAUUUAUCAACCUUAGCUUUGCACCAUAAUUCAAGUAUUAUUUCACUACAUUUAAAAGUAUUUAUGAUUCAGGCUUUAAUCAAAUUUGUACAUUAUACCAAACAUCAUCAUUAAUGUUUAGCUGUUUACGUAUAGUUGAGUAAAUUUAUAGAUCUCAAAUUAUAUGAAGUUUAUUUUAAAAUGGUUAAAAAAUUUCGUUUAAAUUUAUCUAUAUUAUUUUUAUAUUUUUUUUAAAAAUAUAUUAUUUAUUAUUUACAGUUUUUUUUUCUUCUAUUAAACCUUUUAACAUAAACUACUUUAAAAAAAAAGAACAUUUGAUUAUUAUUAGGAAUGAAAAACAUAAACCAUUUAGCUUCCACCUUAAGUGAAUAAUAAGGCACCGUAAUUGCAAAAAGGAAAAAAAUGCCAAUGAUAUAUAUAUAUAUCUAUUAUUUUAUUAUUUAUAUUCUAUCUAUAAUACAUAUAAAAACAUAAAUUUAAAGAAAUUUCUGAAACAAUGAAUAAAAAAUUUAAUGUUUAUUAUAUUACUGAAUAUACUUUUUUAAAUGUUUUUAUUAUUUAUAAAAAAUGUUAUUUUACAUUAAUUAAAAAUAUAAAAUUAAAAAAAAACUAAAAAUUAAAUAUCUAAAAUCACAUUCAACAUAUGUGCCAUUAGAAACUAGUAUUUAUGUAAAUUAAUCUUAAGAAUUAAUAUAGGUAAAAAAGAAUAGAAACUUACUAAUUUGGGAAUGAGAGUCAUUAACACUAAAUCCUUUUAAGGAAAGAGUCUUCAAUGAUGGGAAUAAAUCCAAUGAUUGUAGCCGAAAAUUACAAUCUAAACAUAUCAAAUAAUACAUUUAUAUUUACUAAUAUAUCUAAUUAAUCAGACUAAUAAAUAAUUAAUAAGGACUUAUUUCAAUGUUUAAAUAUUAACACAUUCAUUCAUAAAUUAUGCCACAAUUUUAUUUUAAUCGUACCGGUAGUUGAAUAGCAUGUGAUAUGGAGGUCCUCCAAAUUGCUCAAGCCAUCUAAUUCUGAGGAGAAUCAAAAAUUGAAAAAUAAUACUAUUAAAAUAAAACUUAUUAAAAUAAACACACAUCAUUGAAUAACCAUAGGUAGAAAGAAAGCGGGAAUGGACUGUGGUUGGAGAAAAAAAAUCCAACAUCAUUAUUAAUAUUUAGCUAUUUAAGUACAACUGAGUAAAACUAUGUGAAGUAGACUUUUAUUUAUAAAUGGUUAAUAAAAAUUCAUUUUGAUUUAUCUAUAUUAUCUUUUAAUAUUUAUUUUUAAAAUAUAUUUUUUAUUAUUUACUUCUACUAAAGUUUUUAACAUAAACGAUUUUUUUUUAAAAAAAUUAAGAACAUUUUCUUUUUAUUGAGAAUGAAAAACAGUUCCAACUUAUGUGAAUAAUAUGCCACACUAAUUGCAAAAGGAAAAAAAUGCCAAUGAUAUAUAUUUGUUAUUCCAUUAUCUAUAUUCUAUCUAUAAUAUAUAUAAAUAUAUAUUUUAAGAAAAUUUUUCACUCAUGAAUACGACUUUAUAUGUUUUAAUUAUUUAUAAGAUUUAUCACAUUUAUAAUCAAAAUUCUAAUUUCACUAAAACAUUUUUUAAAUAAACUUAUUUGAUAAAUAAAAAUUAUCGUACUUAUAAAUAAGAAUUCUUAUUCUGUUGAGAUAAUUUUAUUAAAUUAAUUAAUAUAUAAUAAAUAAAUAAAUUUCUAUUGGUUUUUUUAAAUAGAAAAUUUUAUAAAUAAUACAAAUUGAAGUAUAAUUUCAUAUAUUAUAUUAUAUUAUAUUAAUUAUAUAUUAUCUACAUAUUAUUAUGGUUAACUUAUUGACCAAAAAAAAUUGAAUGGUGAAUAGAUUAAUUUAUAGUAUAUUAAUUUUUAUAUCUUUUACAAAUGUUUUAAUGUCAAUUAGAUAAUUUUUAUUAUUACCAUAUCUGAAUCAUCAAAAUAAUUAAUAUGUUAAUUAGUUAUUAUUUUAAAUAAUAUUAUUUUGCAUUAACUACAUUAUGUAAAACUAUAUUGUGUAUUGAUUAAGUUAAAAAUACUUCAAUUGUGAUUUCAAAAUUAUUGCUAUAAUAUUUAAUUGUGAUUUCAAAAAAUAUAUAAAUUUCGGUUUAUUCAAUUAACCGACCGAAUAAAUCAAAAUAUUUUAGUUCGGUUAACGGUUAAAGAUUUUUACAUUUUGAGUAAUUGGUUAAUAGUAAUUUAGUUCAGGUAUUAACUGAAUUGACCGUUUGAACUUCCCUAUGUCUAAUGUCUGAAUAUAAUCCAACAAAACUAUAAAUCUUAAAUGAUGGGAAAUUGACCUUUAUUUAUAAAUAGUUAACAAAAAUUUGUUUAGAUUUACUAUUUACAAAAUUUUAUUUUACUUCUAUUAAAUUUUUUAACACAAACGAUUUAAAAAGAAACUUGACAAGAUUUGAUUAUUAUUAGGAAUGAAAAACUACAAAUUUUACAAUUUAUAUGAAGACCAAAAUAGAAAAUAUAUAAAACUAAAAAGUCUAAUAAAUAAAAAAAAUUACAAAUUUUAAUUCUACUAGAAUUGUAAAUGUGACAUUAAAAUUAUAUUAUAACAAAUAAUUUUUUGAACAAAUUAUAUUAAUUAAAAUUAAACACCUAAAAU